rnacentral:lncRNA from 1 species
GUGGUAGGGGUGUAUGAUUGUAGGGAUGGUAGGGUUGUAUGUUGGGAGGGAUGGUAGGGAGGUAUGCUAGUUGGGCCGAUAUGACUGGUAGGGAUUUAAGGAUGUAUCCAGGUAGGGCUGGUUGAGAUAUAUCCUGGAAGAGUUGGUAGGGAUGAUAGGGAUGGUUGGGAGGUAUGCUAGUUGUAAGGAUGUAUCCAGGUAGGGCUGGUUGAGAUAUAUCCUGGAAGGGUUGGUAGGGAUGAUAGGGAUGGUUGGGAGGUAUGCUAGUUGUAAGGAUGUAUCCAGGUAGGGCUGGUUGAGAUAUAUCCUGGAAGGGUUGGUAGGGGUGAUAGGGAUGGUUGGGAGGUAUGCUAGUUGUAAGGAUGUAUCCAGGUAGGGCUGGUUGAGAUAUAUCCUGGAAGGGUUGGUAGUGAUCCUGGAAGGGUUGGUAGGGAUCACAGUUCUCUCUAAGUUUUUCUAGUUUAAACAGGACUAAGCUUAUAAAAUCAACACAAGACAACAUUGGCUAAUCAGAUUCCUAGGCUGACGUAGACCUGUAUGAGUUAUGUUGGAGCGUUACCAAUUCUAUGAUGUUAUCAAACAGUCCUCUCUCUCUCAUUCGAUCCAGACAUACGGUUGGACAGGGUGCACCAGACAGGCUUCUCUCUCUGGCAUCACCAAGUGUAUGUCCAAAAUGGCACCCUGUUCCCUUACUUCCCGAUUAUUGCAUAAUACUACAAGGCUCUGGUCAAAAGUAGUGCACUAAAUAAGGAAUAGGGUACCUGUUGGGACGCAUCACCAAAUCUUUCUUCCUUUGAUUGUCUGAGCUGAUCUUCCAUCAAUCGUGUCUCUCCUUGUCUUCCCUCCCUCUCUCUGUCUCAGACAUUAAACUGUGUGAAGAGGAUUUAACAAAACAUCUUUCUCC